rnacentral:tRNA from 1 species
GGGCCAAUAGCUCAGUUGGUAGAGCCCCCGGCUCAUAACCGGAUGGUCCCAGGUUCGAGCCCUGGUUGGCCCACCA